rnacentral:tRNA from 1 species
GCCUUCGUGGUGAAAUUUGGUAUACACGCAUUGUUGAGAACGAUGUGCCGAAAGGCUUACCGGUUCAAAUCCGGUCGAAGGUA